GACGAACGCUGGCGGCGUGCUUAACACAUGCAAGUCGAGCGGUAAGGCCCUUUCGGGGGUACACGAGCGGCGAACGGGUGAGUAACACGUGGGUGACCUGCCCUCAGCUCUGGGAUAAGCCCGGGAAACUGGGUCUAAUACCGGAUAUGACUCCACGGUGCAUGUCGUGGGGUGGAAAGCCUUGUGCGGCUGAGGAUGGGCCCGCGGCCUAUCAGCUUGUUGGUGGGGUGAUGGCCUACCAAGGCGACGACGGGUAGCCGGCCUGAGAGGGCGACCGGCCACACUGGGACUGAGACACGGCCCAGACUCCUACGGGAGGCAGCAGUGGGGAAUCUUGCGCAAUGGGCGAAAGCCUGACGCAGCGACGCCGCGUGAGGGAUGACGGCCUGGUGUAAC
rnacentral:rRNA from 1 species